UACGUAGGGUGCGAGCGUUGUCCGGAAUUAUUGGGCGUAAAGAGCUUGUAGGCGGUUUGUCGCGUCUGCCGUGAAAGCCCAGGGCUUAACCCUGGGUCUGCGGUGGGUACGGGCAGACUAGAGUGUGGUAGGGGAGACUGGAAUUCCUGGUGUAGCGGUGAAAUGCGCAGAUAUCAGGAGGAACACCAAUGGCGAAGGCAGGUCUCUGGGCCACUACUGACGCUGAGAAGCGAAAGCAUGGGGAGCAAACAGG
rnacentral:rRNA from 1 species